rnacentral:tRNA from 1 species
GGUUAGAUGGCCGAGUGGUUAUGGCGUGUGACUCAAGCUUCCAGCUUAAUCGGCUCUGUCGAUUAGUAUUCUCAUGGGCUUUGCCCGCGGGGGUUCGAAGUGAGCAUCCAUCCCACACACAUGUCAACAAUGUUGAUCG